UCCACCCUCUAAGGUUCCAUAACCUUCCUAGAUGGCACCAUCAGCUCGGGACCAAGUGUCCAAACAUAGGAGUCCAUGGAGGACACUUUCAUAUCCAAAUACCACCAUCCAAUAGAAAGGCCACUUAAAAAAAACAGAAGAGUACUACUUACGGCUUAAAAAAAUCGCUCCUUAUCUACCAAGUGAUUCAGGCGGAAGCAAACAUCACUGCCUGGCUCACCACAGACUCAGAAUAAACAGCCCUGCAAACUGCUCAUGGUGAAGAGUGGGGCCACAGUCAUGCUGGACGCGCAUUUCAUCCACGUAGACUGAGGAUUUUUAUGGUUCGGGGUUGAAAUCUGAACACAUUUAUGUGUAACAGGAACUGAAACAAACAAUGGGUCUGAGAAAUCAGCUUAAAUGAAGGAAAGACUAUUUUGGCUCAUGGUUUCAGAGCUCUAGCGUUUGUCCAGUCUGCCUGGCGCCCUGCUCUUCUCUGUGAUCACACACCUUGGGAAGCAGUCUUUCCCCAGAUCCAAGUGUCUCCUGUCACUCGCAGAACCCACACACCUGCUAGAGACCCCAAGCUUGUCAGCAUAAGCAGGAAAAUCAACAGAAAAAUACCUCAAGGCACACUUCUGCAAAAUGGCAAAGAGAACCCUAAGUUGAAGAAGAAAGGACUUAAAAUGAAAAUACUGAGGACCUUCCCAUAUCCACGCUGUACCACGGAAGUGUCUAUAAAUGCAGGAGGCUGAAGUGAACAACAAAAUCAAUUGUCCCGAGGUGACCUUGUACUAUCACAUGUUCAGUGUGCAGCGCUCAUCGUGUCCAGGUGCCACACGCACAGCUCCGGGUUGGUAGCAUCCCGUUAGCAACUGUCUCAUUGCUAUGAGAAAGAUAACUGACAAGAAGUAACUCAAGGGUGAAGGGUCUGUUGUGACUCCCAGCCGUGGGAGCCGCUGGCCCGAGCACAAGAGACUGCUCAAGUAGCUUGCCUCCCCUUCUUUCUUCAGUUUCAGACCCAGCCCGAGGGACAGUACCAUUCACAUUUAGUGUCGUCCUCAGUAAAAGUUCUCUGGAAAUGCCCUCAAAUACACGCCCAGAGAUGUGUCUCCUAGGUGGUUAAAAAGUCAUCGAAUUGACAAUAGGACCAUCACACUCUUGCCAUUUCCACAGUGGGAAAACUGAGGAGAUAACCAGAGUGGUCCAUCUGAGAGGAAAUGAUGUCUGUGGGGAAUAAGCAGACUGGCCCAUCUGAGAGGAAAUAUUUAGAACACUGCCUGCCACUGCACGCCAGCUGCCUCAGUUUCUCACUCAGGUCUCUGCACGGCGCCGGACAGUAGCUGCCAUCAGUGCACUUCUGCAGAUAAGGGGAUCGAUUGGUAGACACGGAAAACAACUUUCGCAACCCAUUUGUCCUGUUCAUGACAGAGCUGGCAGUUACAUCAACACCCAGCUAGGUCAAUCCCUCUGCCCUGACCAGGCCAGAGGCCCAGCACUGUAGAACCACUGGUGAGGGCAAAGGGAGAGGAUUAUUGAACGUAGAAAAAUGGAGCACAGAUCUGAAGAAAUGAAACCCCACAAAUAUUACUCUUUAGUACAGCAAACCAAAGAAACCUUCGAAAAGGUAUCUUAGAGAUUGGUCUCUCCAGUGCACGAAUGGGCUUUCUGGAGCCCAUUCCCUGUGGAGGGACACCACCUUGCUCAAUACAGGGGGGAGAGGCCUGGUCCUGCCUCAACUUGAUAUGCCAGACUUCGUUGACUCCCCAUGGGAGGCCUCACCCCUACUCAGG